rnacentral:rRNA from 1 species
UACGUAGGUGGCAAGCGUUGUCCGGAUUUAUUGGGUGUAAAGCGAGCGCAGGCGGUUUCUUAAGUCUGAUGUGAAAGCCUUCGGCUCAACCGAAGAAGUGCAUCGGAAACUGGGAAACUUGAGUGCAGAAGAGGACAGUGGAACUCCAUGUGUAGCGGUGAAAUGCGUAGAUAUAUGGAAGAACACCAGUGGCGAAGGCGGCUGUCUGGUCUGUAACUGACGCUGAGGCACGAAAGCGUGGGGAGCAAACAGG